rnacentral:rRNA from 1 species
AAACAACUCUCAGCAACGGAUAUCUUGGCUCUUGCAACGAUGAAGAACGCAGCGAAAUGCGAUACGUAGUGUGAAUUGCAGAAUUCCGCGAAUC